CUCGCCACAACUAACAGUCACCUCUGUUACUCCAAUUCCAGAAGUUCCAACGCUCUUGGUGCUGCACAGACAUACACAUAAAAAGUCAAAGCAAAUAAAUAGUAAAAAUUGAAUGUGGAAGUUAGGUCUUCUACUUUACUGGGACAAAGGAUGAAGUCAGCUAGGCCCGAGGAAUCAGCUGCGCAUCGUAAGAGAUGGGCAUCAUUCAGGAAUUCACAGUUAAAGCACUUGCACUUUUAAAGGGAUCUUAACCUUUUCAAGUGUUGACGGCUUUAUAGAUUCUGGGGCUUUAAAAAAAAAGCUGGAGCGUGUUUUAUACUGCACUAUUAAUGUUAGCUCGAGAUCUCAGAGACAAACAAGAAAGGGAAGGUUCUGGUUUAACAGUGAUGUGUCCAGUUGACGAGAUAUGGAUUUAACAGUGAUGCGGAAGCUGACAAGAUAUGGGUUUUACUAAUCCGUUUGACACAGAUUAGAGACAUCUGGGAGAAGGGACUCAAUUACAGAAUCACCUUUCUUAGACUGUGAACAUGUCUAUAGUGCAUCUUCUUGAUUCCUAAUUGAUAUAGGAGGACUGAGACCUCUGUAGGAGGAACAUCCUUGGGCAAGUAGGCACGGGUAUAUAAAAAGGUAGCUGAGAAAGUUACAGGGAGCAAACAAGCAAACAGUGUUCCUCCAUUUUGAUUUAUGUUUAACUCACUCUGACUCGAAUUCCUGCUUUGGAUUCCCUGGAUGAUGAAUUACAAUCUGUAAGAUGAAAUAAUUUCUUCCCAAGUUGCCUUUGGUCAUGGCGUUUAUUACAGCAACAAUAAUAUUAAAACACCAGGCAGGCUUUUUCUGUCCUUAAACACUCUCUAACCCUGUCACACGGAUGUGGGUUAGAUGUCUGCAUGGAGCAGUGGCUAGCAUUAGUUGAGGGCUCAGUGUGCAGUGGCACCCUGUUCUAAAGGAUUUAUAGAAGUGAACUCAUGAAUUCCUCAUAAUAACCUUCUUAUUGAGUAGCAUACUUACCCACACAUCCCUCAUCGAAGGCAUAUGAAAGCCAUGUUGUCUGUUACCUUCUUUAGAUGAGAGAUGGCCUUAUCUCUCAAUCUUAUCUUUCAUCCUCUCUUUGCUUUAAGUGAGAGAGACUUUAUGAAUUAAUGGAAAUAUGAGUUCCCUUGGAAGUCUAUAGAACGAUAAUUGCAACUUGACACAGCUGAAGGAAACGUCCAGAGACUGUUUUUGGAGGGAAAAUAAUGAUGAGAAUCAAACCCAGAUCCUCACACUUGUUAGACAAGUGCUAUGCCAAAGAGUCAGAUAGUGGCAUUGUGUAAAAUAUGUGGGAAGUAGAAAUCUUGAGUGAAUGCGAAUUAUUGAAGUGUACACAGCCCAGCGCUCCUGACUCAUGAACAUGACAAACCCUUCUCUGGAUCAGGCCCAGGGUAAUGGCACACCCUUCCUCCUAGUCAUGUGUGGGUGCCUGCAGUAUGUGAAGAAAAUGUAGAUCAAGGCUUCAUACUCUGGGCUGCUGACAGCUUGAGACUGCUCGCCUAAAGAGACUCAUCUGUAUACAAAAAUCCCGCCUCACUGAUUUAAAUGUGUAAGGUAAACACAUACAGUUUCCAUAGAACUACUGGUGUGUCUCCGUCUGAGCACACAGCCCACUCAAUCAGCACGUGUAUCUGUGCAGAUCCUUUCUUCAUUCCCAAUUGCCCCAGUUGGGUCAAUCUCAACUGUGCAGAUCAUAGCAAGGGGGCACCCAGACAGUGUCACUUGACUACAGGAAACUCACAUUAGUCAGGUGAGUGAACGCUCCCAUGAAAAGCACAAAAAUAAAGGUAAAGAGAGGAAAGCAAGUGCAACUCUAUGCAAUGGGUGUAAACCUUGGGACACAGAAUGUAGAGAUACACAGUAUACAUUAAAACUUUGAAAAUUUAAGGAACUGUAGAGAUAGGAUAAAGAUAUUACAACUCCAUCAGUUCAAUCCCUCACUGCCUGAGUCAGGUUUCCAGGAUGUAGCCACAUGAGUUAUGGCAAAAUAUUGACAACCUGAAGGAAAGAUCAAUUUUUACUUACACAAAGUUUCUGGGGCUAUAUUCUUUGCAAUAACAUGACAUAGCAUAACAUAACUUAUAAAAAGUCUAUAUCUUAUACUUCUCUCCAGAAACCAGAGGCCAUAACUGUCUCUCUGUUUUUCAAGUUGGGUUUUCCGAUGAUGCUCAUGUCCUGAACCAUAGGGAUGUGCUAUCUUCUAAUUGUUCAUGUUGUGGUGGGAUGGAAUUAAUAGCUAGUCAUCAUCUGAAGACCGAGGGAAACCUGAGCAUCACCUGUAUCAGCCAGAGACUUCCCAACAACACCUCUGCAGAAGAAAAUGAGCUCACCAUACCACACACGGAAACAGAGCUUUUUCAAAAACGAUAUUGCUCAGGUGGAUGAAGGGAAACCACACUGUCUUCUCCCUGCAAACCAAACAUGAGGAAUACAAGUUAACUUAUCAAGAUUCCCUACAGAAAAUAUGUAUAUUUCAGAAGCAUUUCUUGCAAUUCUAUUCAAGAGAUGGCACAAUUUCUCCCAAAUAGUUGUGCCUUUUAAUUGUUAGUUCUAAGAAUAAAUGCAGUUUUUAAAAAAUGUAAUCCCCCAUUUAAAAAUAGUCACCAUUUAGUUUGUGUACCCCUUGAAUAUGUCUCUUUUUGGGGAGAGACAUACCACUGUUAAGAAAAUGUUUUGUGUAUUUAAAAAAUAAAGAAUUCCUUGACAGAAUCUUUUGUAAUUUAUCUGCCAUGGUAGUUUAGAUG